rnacentral:rRNA from 1 species
AGUGAACGCUGGCGGUAGGCCUAACACAUGCAAGUCGAACGGCAGCACAGUAAGAGCUUGCUCUUACGGGUGGCGAGUGGCGGACGGGUGGGGAAUACAUCGGAAUCUACUUUUUCGUGGGGGAUAACGUAGGGAAACUUACGCUAAUAACGCAUACGACCUACGGGUGAAAGCAGGGGAUCUUCGGACCUUGCGCGAUUGAAUGAGCCGAUGUCGGAUUAGCUAGUUGGCGGGGUAAAGGCCCACCAAGGCGACGAUCCGUAGCUGGUCUGAGAGGAUGAUCAGCCACACUGGAACUGAGACACGGUCCAGACUCCUACGGGAGGCAGCAGUGGGGAAUAUUGGACAAUGGGCGCAAGCCUGAUCCAGCCAUACCGCGUGGGUGAAGAAGGCCUUCGGGUUGUAAAGCCCUUUUGUUGGGAAAGAAAAGCAGCAGGUUAAUACCCCGCUGUUCUGACGGUACCCAAAGAAUAAGCACCGGCUAACUACGUG